UGGCCAGUUGUCGAAGUGUUAAUGGGAA
rnacentral:piRNA from 1 species